GGUGAACGCUGGCGGCAUGCCUAAUACAUGCAAGUCGAACGGAAGCACUUGUGCUUUAGUGGCGAACGGGUGAGUAACACGUGAGGAACCUACCCUUAAGACGAGGAUAACUACUGGAAACGGUAGCUAGUACUGGAUAGCAUCAAGAGACGCAUGUCUUUUGAUCUAAAGAUCCCUUUAAAGGAUCGCUUAAGGAUGGCCUUGCGCCGCAUUAGCUAGUUGGUAGGGUAACGGCCUACCAAGGCGACGAUGCGUAGCUGUGCUGAGAGGCAGAACAGCCACACUGGGACUGAGACACGGCCCAG
rnacentral:rRNA from 1 species